UACAGAGGUCCCAAGCGUUGUUCGGAUUUACUGGGCGUAAAGGGCGCGUAGGCGGCCUGCUAAGUCGGACGUGAAAUCCCUCGGCUCAACCGGGGAACUGCGUCCGAUACUGGCGAGCUUGAAUCCGGGAGAGGGAUGUGGAAUUCCAGGUGUAGCGGUGAAAUGCGUAGAUAUCUGGAGGAACACCGGUGGCGAAGGCGGCAUCCUGGACCGGUAUUGACGCUGAGGCGCGAAAGCUAGGGGAGCAAACGGG
rnacentral:rRNA from 1 species